rnacentral:rRNA from 1 species
GAGUUUGAUCAUGGCUCAGAUUGAACGCUGGCGGCAUGCCUUACACAUGCAAGUCGAACGGCAGCAUGAUCUAGCUUGCUAGAUUGAUGGCGAGUGGCGAACGGGUGAGUAAUACAUCGGAACGUGCCCUGUAGUGGGGAGUAACUAGUCGAAGAAUUAGUCUAAUACCGCAUACGACCUGAGGGUGGAAGUAGGGGGACCGGCAAGGCCUCAUGCUAUAGGAGCGGCCGAUGUCUGAUUAGCUAGUUGGUGGGG